GGGGGGGGGGGGCGGGGGGGGGGGGGGAUGCGGGGCGGGCGGGGGGGCGGGGAGCUGGGGGGGCGGAGGUGAGCGGCGGACGGGGGAGUAACACGUGGAGAACCUACCUAUAAGACGGGGAUAACCUCGGGAAACCGGAGCUAAUACCGGAGAAGAUUCUGAACCGCAUGGUUCAAAAGUGAAAGACGGUCUUGCUGUCACUUAUAGAUGGAUCCGCGCUGCAUUAGCUAGUUGGUAAGGUAACGGCUUACCAAGGCAACGAUGCAUAGCCGACCUGAGAGAGUGAUCGGCCACACUGGAACGGAGACACGGUCCAGACUCCUGCGGGAGGCAGCAGUAGGGAAUCUUCCGCAAUGGGCGGAAGCAUGACGGAGCGGCGCCGCGUGGGUGAUGAAGGUCUUCGGAUCGUAAAACUCUGUUGUUAGGGAAGAACAUAUGAGUAAGUAGCUGUGCACAUCUUGACGGUACCUAAUCAGAAAGCCACGGCUAACUACGUG
rnacentral:rRNA from 1 species